rnacentral:rRNA from 1 species
AGAAUCAACGCUGGCGGCGUGCCUAACACAUGCAAGUCGAACGAGAAAGUGGAGCAAUCCAUGAGUAAAGUGGCGCACGGGUGAGUAACACGUGACUAACCUACCCUUGAGUGGGGGAUAACCUAGGGAAACCUGGGCUAAUACCGCAUAAUACCUUCGGGUCAAAGGAGCAAUUCGCUUAAGGAGGGGGUCGCGGCCGAUUAGUUAGUUGGCGGGGUAAUGGCCCACCAAGACUAUGAUCGGUA